UGGGAACCUCCAUAUGUGGCCCUAAAAUGCAAAAUAAAAUAAAUAAAUAAAUAAAUUUUAAAAAUAAAGUUUCCAUAAUAUCAUGGAAACUUGCAGUCCACAGUUUCAAACUACAAGUUUAACUAAGACAGAAUCCAAGUAUUUGGGCUUUCAAUUUUCUAUUUCACUCAGCCCUCUAAGUAAUGGAGUUUGUAUUUAGAACAUGUCCAGCUUUGUUCUAACCAGCCAUUGCUUUAGUGGCAUCUUCCUACACAUAUGCAGUUACUGCGAAGCAUAGAUUAUUUGAAGUGGAACUGUCAUGUCAAAGAUGAUGUGCAUUGUACAUUUGAUGGAGUCUUACCAAAUUAUAAUUUUAAAAAACUGUCACAAUUCGCAUAAUAUAUUAAAAUGUUUAUUUUCCACAUCCUUGAUAACAUUUUGUAUUUAAAAUUUUUUUAAAUUUUAAAAUACUUUGCCAAUGUACAAUGCAAAGAAGAGUGGUUUCUCAAUGUUGUAAUUCCAUUUAUUUAAUUAUGAGCCUUUGGGAUUUCUUUUCCUGUUUAUACUUCUCUCCCAAUUUUCUCUUGGAUUAUAGUUUUUCCAAAAUAAUUUGCAAGUGUUCUUUAUGUGUUAAGUAAAUGAACGUUUUGUUAUCUGCGGCAAAUAUCUUUUUUUCCUCGUUGUUUGUCUUUUCACCCAAUCCUUUCAUCCAGAAAAUGUUAAACUUUAUAUAGUCAAAUUGAUCCAUCUUUUUUCUUUAUGGACUCUGGAGUUUAGGUCUUCCUUUGAAAAGCUUUUCUUUCCCCAAGGAAACCAAGAAUUUUUAAUAAAAUCCAAAAGUACCUACUUAGUGAAAAUACAGUCCUUCUUCAUGACCUGUGUGGAAUUUACACCAGCCAAGCAGGAUGAGGAUGCAGUAAAAUUCAUCACCUUUGCAUCUUUCUAGGCAUUGAUCUCAGCAUUAAAGUUGACAAUUCCCAGGGGAAUCCAGGGGACUCCAUCUGGCCCUUCCAGCCAUACUGGCCUCUAACCAUAGGCCUGGAAGUCACUGUAAGCCCUCUUCCUGUUGUCAAGUUUAUCCUUUCCUUUUAUAUAUCCUGGGAUUAUGGAAAUAACCAUAAGUGUCCAUGUUGGACCUACUGUGAGAGGAACUUGGGCCAGGACGUACAGGCCAUCACUUGACCUCCCUGAGGUCCAUUCCGAAUGGUGGUCCAUAGUGAUAUUUCAGGUCUCUGGGGAUUCAUGUCAUUUGGAGCCAAUAUCUAAUAAUUCCUGGAAGGUCUAUGUAUUUCCCUUUCUCCAAUCACAGUUACCAGGGUAAAUGGCUACAGUUUGUUCUGGGAAAGCUUUGGAAGAAAAAUCUAAUAACACUCUGUGGCUACAUUAUACUCUAUGCUUGGACAUUCCUCCUAGGGCUCCAGGUCUGGAACUGAGAAAGAGAUUAUAUAUUCACCUAGGAUAAUUUGAGAUAGGUUUCUGCCCCUGCUCCCCAAAUCCACAUUUUUUCUGUCUAUGUAUGCCAAGCAGCAUCUUUUGAUGUCAUUUCUAAAGAUACCAAACUCAAUUAGCCAUAGCCACAAAUCCCUGUGGUACCAUUCAACUCUUGUGUCCAUUUUAGUGUGAUAAUUACACCCACUUUGUCUAUCAGAUCACUGGUGCCUCCAGAAUCGGGUUAUUCUCCUUGAGAUUAGGGACCCUAAUUCCACGUAGCACCCUCGAGUAAUCACCUGCCUACAGAGGGCAGCCACCACAGGGCUUUUCACAGAGCUCUGCACAGCUGCCCUAUCCCCAAACACUUUGUAAUGCCUUUGUGUGGAGACUGCUCCAAGAUCCACCUGUUGGGAAUGAUUUUGUGUGUGUGUGUGUGUGUAGUUGGGAUGGCGUGGGGUUGUGAGCAGUUGCACAUAUGUAGUACGGGUAGAUCUCGGAGAUGUUUCGGGAUCACUUCCAGACGACUCAACAAAGCAGUGUCACAAAAAAAGUGAGUCACAUGAAUUUUUUUGGUUUUCCCAGAGCGUAUAAAAAUUAUGUUCAUACCAUACCAUAGUCUAUUAAGUGUGAAGCACCAUAUGUCUAAAAAAGCAAGAUAUGUACCUUAAUUAAAAUAUACUUUAUUGCUAAAAAAUCCAAAAUUUAAGCGUCAUAAUCUUUUUGCAAUAGGAACAUCGCAGAUCACAGAUCACCACAGCAAAUAUAAUAAUAAUGAAAAAAAUGUGAAAUUUUGGGAACAUCUCCAAAAUGUGACACAGAGACACAAAGUGAGCAAAUGCUGUUGGAAAAACGGUGCCAAUAGGUUUUCUCUACUCAGGAUUGCCACAAACCUUCAACUUGUAAAAAAUACUCCAUCCUGGAGGGUGGUGCAAGGUGCACUAAAGCCAAGGGCACUAAAACGAGGUCUGCCUGUAGAUACGUUCUCAUGGGCCUAUCUCUCUGAGCCUUUACAGGAACGUUCUGAUAAUUCAUUCUGACUGUAGGCUACUGUGGAAAGCAGAAGAGUUGCAGGUGGAAUUAAGGUGCUGGUCAGCUGACUUUAAGAUAGGGAGAGGGAGCCUGGGUCAUGCAGGUGCUCCCAAUUUAAUUGCAAGGGGCAUUAAAUGGAGCAGAGGGAGGCAGGAGAGUUUGCGUGGAAAAGUUAGCACCGAGAGUGGGUUUCUUCCUGCGGAUGCCAGUUUUGAAGGUGGAGGAAGGGGGACUCCAGCAUCCGGAAGUGGCCACGUUCUCAUGCAUGAGCUCAUGAAGGAUGCAUACUAACUCUGAGGAGGUUACAGACAAAGCAACUGGGAAUGCCUAAAAUUGGAAGACUGACAAUACAAACUGGAAUUCUUGUACAUUACCAGUGAAACAGUAAAUUGGUACAACCCUUUGGAAAACUGUUGAGCAGAAUCCACAGAAGCUAAAUUUGCAGCAUCUCUAUGAACCAGCGGUUCUGCCCCUGGCUAUGACAGGGAUGGCAGAGCUGGUGUUCAAACCACUCCCUCCCCAAGAGUCCCAGCCCUAAGGAGGCUCGGCUUGGUCACACAGGCCCCACGGGCUCCGGUGCUGGUCUCCUGGAGGAGAUCCUCAGGCUACAGGGUCAUCCGACUUCCUGCAUCGCAUAGAUGGAGGGGACCGGGCAGCAGGACUCAGCCGGCAUCCCACCGAGAGCCAGCUCUAGGGACAAUCUUCUGGGCUGGCCCAGGGCUCUGCGAACCCUCCCUGGUCCCAUUCCUGCCACCCCACCUUCCGCUGGAUGUGUCAGCUCCUUCUCCAACCUGGAGCUCGUUCAACUGGGGCGACUUUGGGGGCACUUCAUAUAUAAACCAAAUUUGUAAUGACUCCAGCCAAUGGAAGUGUUUUGGGUGAGGGGGGUGGGGGGAGGGAGAGGGAGAUGAAAAUAGAAAAGGCAGCUGGCAAAUGUCACCCCCUGGACCACUGUGGGAGCAGGCGAUGCUGUGCCGUCAUCUUGCCCGGGCUGUGCUGUUGCCCCUCUCCAGUGGGUGCUGGAGGUGGUAACUGGGCGUGUACAGGGUGGAAGGGGCAUGGCUGCAGUGGAAGUUAUGUUGUAUGGGACUGAAGAUCUUUUCAGUCUCUGGAUGACCAUCUUGUAGGGUAUUUUUUAAUCAGGAUAUAAUCCUUUAAGUUUCAGCUGCACCCAAGGAAAGAGCUGCUCCUUCCCGGAUUCCUCAUGUCUUUUUCAUUUUCCAAGUUGCCUAGACAAGGUUGUCUUUCUUGUUGGCUGUUAUAUCCCCAGGAUCCAGCACAGUUCCGGGAGUAUGAUGGGUCCUUAAUUAAUACCUAUUCAAGCCAUUGAUUAAAUGAAUAAUUAAUCAAAUAAGUGAAUCCAUGAACAAUUCAUGUUGAGUCCUAGAUUCUUUUUUUUCCUUUUUGUGGCUGCACCCACAGCAUAUGGAAGUUCCCUGGCCAGGGAUUGAAUUGGAGCUGCAGCUGCCAGCCUGCACCACAGCCACAGAAACACAAGA